rnacentral:rRNA from 1 species
AGCGGCAGGCCUAACACAUGCAAGUCGAGGGGUAAGGCUCUUUCGGGAGUACACGACCGGCGAACGGGUGAGUAUCGCGUUUGCAACCUACCUUUAACUGGAGAAUAGCCCGAAGAAAUUCGGAUUAAUGCUCCAUAAUAUCAAGAGAAUGCAUAUUCUUUUGAUUAAAGCUCCGGCGGUUAAAGAUGGGCAUGCGUGCCAUUAGCUUGUUGGUGAGGUAACGGCUCACCAAGGCAACGAUGGCUAGGGGUUCUGAGAGGAUGAUCCCCCACACUGGUACUGAGACACGGACCAGACUCAUACGGGAGGCAGCAGUGAGGAAUAUUGGUCAAUGGGCGAAAGCCUGAACCAGCCAUGCCGCGUGCAGGAUGACGGCGCUAUGCGUUGUAAACUGCUUUUCUGCUCCAAGAACCCCCCGAUCGUGAUCGGGGUUGACGGUAGAGCAGGAAUAAGCAUCGGCUAACUCCGUGCCAGCAGCCGCGGUAAUACGGAGGAUGCAAGCGUUAUCCGGAUUUAUUGGGUCUAAAGGGUGCGUAGGCAGGAUAAUAAGUCAGUGGUGAAAUCC